rnacentral:tRNA from 1 species
GCUCCCGUGUGUCUGUAUUUAUGGGCUUCUGAUGCCUUCCGAGUGCUUCCGAUGGCAUCGCCGGGACACCCUAGCGCAGACUUUUAAUCUUGGGGUCCUGGGUUCGAGCCCCAGCGGGCGCACCA